UGAAUACGAGAUGCUACGGCGUCGAAGCAGUCUAUGUCAUACUUCCAAGAAAAGCUUGCACUGUCAUAAACAAAUAAUGCCUGUACCAUAACCGACACAGGUGGGUAGGUAGAGUAUACUAAGGGGCGCGAGAUAACUCUCUCUAAGGAACUAGGCAAAAUGACUCCGUAACUUCGGGAGAAGGAGUGCCUUAUUUAUAAGGUUGCAAUAACAAGAUCCAAGCAACUGUUUACCAAAAACACAGGUCUCCGCUAAGUCGUAAGACGAUGUAUGGGGGCUGACGCCUGCCCAGUGCCAGAAGGUUAAAGAAGUUGGUUAGCAUCCGCGAAGCUGAUAACUGAAGCCCUGGUGAACGGCGGCCGUAACUAUAACGGUCCUAAGGUAGCGAAAUUCCUUGUCGGGUAAGUUCCGACCCGCACGAAAGGCGUAAUGAUUUGGAUACUGUCUCGGAGAGGGGCUCGGUGAAAUAGACUUGUCUGUGAAGAUGCGGACUACCUGCACCAGGACAGAAAGACCCUAUGAAGCUUUACUGUAACCUGAAAUUGAAAUUGGACUUUACUUGCGCAGUAUAGGUGGGAGGCGUUGAGAAUAUUCUUGCGGGAUUAUUGGAGCCAUCAGUGAGAUACCACUCUUGUAAUGUUAGAUUUCUAACUUUGUAUCAUUAUCUGGUCAAAGAACAGUUUCAGGCGGGCAGUUUGACUGGGGCGGUCGCCUCCUAAACGGUAACGGAGGCGCACAAAGGUUUCCUCUGAACGGGUAGAAAUCGUAUCUAGAGUGUAAAGGCAUAAGGAAGCUUGACUGUGAGACCUACAAGUCGAGCAGGGACGAAAGUCGGUCUUAGUGAUCUGACGGUGCUGAGUGGAAAGGCCGUCACUCAACGGAUAAAAGUUACUCUAGGAUAACAGGCUGAUCUCCCCCAAGAGUUCACAUCGACGGGGAGGUUUGGCACCUCGAUGUCGGCUCAUCGCAUCCUGGGGCGGUAGUACGUCCCAAGGGUUGGGCUGUUCGCCCAUGAAAGCGGUACGCGAGCUGGGUUCAGAACGUCGUGAGACAGUUCGGUCCAUAUCCGGUGUAGGCGUUAGAAUAUUGAGAGGAGCCUUCUUUAGUACGAGAGGACCGAGAAGGACAUACCUCUGGUGUACCAGUUAUCGUGCCAACGGUAAACGCUGGGUAGCUAUGUGUGGAGUGGAUAACCGCUGAAAGCAUCUAAGUGGGAAGCCCACCUCAAGAUAAG
rnacentral:rRNA from 1 species